CCUACGGGAGGCAGCAGUGAGGGAUAUUGGCCAAUGGGCGAAACCCUGAACCAGCAACGUCGCGUGAGGGAAGACGGAUCUCUGAUUUUAAACCUUUGUCUUCUGUGAAGUUAAUGACGGCAGCAGAGGAUGAUUCCCUGUCUAACUUCGUGCCACCAGCGGCGGUAAUCCGUAGGGAGCGAGCGUUGUCCGGAUUUACUGGUGUUAAAGGGUGCGUAGGCGGGCUUGCAUGUCAGAAGUGAAUUCCAUGGGCUUAACCCGUGAACUGCUUUUGAAACUGGAGGACUUGAGUGGAGUAGAGGUAGGCGGAAUGCGUGGUGUAGCGGUGAAAUGCAUAGAGAUCGGGAGGAACACCGAUGGCGAAGGCAGCCUACUAAGCUAUAACUGACGCUGAAGCACGAAAGCGUGGGUAGCAAACAGGAUUAGAUACCCCUGUAGUC
rnacentral:rRNA from 1 species